rnacentral:rRNA from 1 species
UGGGGAAUAUUGGACAAUGGGCGAAAGCCUGAUCCAGCAAUGCCGCGUGAGUGAUGAAGGCCCUAGGGUUGUAAAGCUCUUUUACCCGGGAUGAUAAUGACAGUACCGGGAGAAUAAGCUCCGGCUAACUCCGUGCCAGCAGCCGCGGUAAUACGGAGGGAGCUAGCGUUGUUCGGAAUUACUGGGCGUAAAGCGCACGUAGGCGGCUAUUCAAGUCAGGGGUGAAAUCCCGGGGCUCAACCUCGGAACU